ACCUUCAAAGCCAAAGAAUGCAAACCAAUAUGUUAAAAUAUAUUAAAUGUGAAUGCCUAUGCUUUAAUUUAAGUCUAGUAACUUCUGAGAAAACUUCUUUUCAUUUUCAAGUUCAAUAUUGAGUUUUAAUUGUCUAGUAUUCUUAUUUUUGACUAGUCACAACUAUACUAAGAAAAUACAUUUGAAUAUUUUUCCAGGCAGAAUGUUUGUUUGUUUGUUUUUUUUUUUUUUUUAUGUUCAAAACACCAGUAUAUAAUUGUAACCAGUCAGUAGAAGAUUUUAAAUGUUAACACAUUGUCAUAUGAGCAGAUCUUUUAGGGUCACACGUAGAAAAGAGAAAAUGGUUUGAAAUUGCAAUUUACAAGUUGAUUUACACUAUAAGAAACAGUUGCUGCAAUUGCCACUUAAUUCACUCUGUGAAAUGAAUUGCAGUUUAAAUAAGGAAAAAAAAUGGA